GACGAACGCUGGCGGCGUGCCUAAUACAUGCAAGUAGAACGCACAGUUUAUACCGUAGCUUGCUACACCAUAGACUGUGAGUUGCGAACGGGUGAGUAACGCGUAGGUAACCUGCCUGGCAGCGGGGGAUAACUAUUGGAAACGAUAGCUAAUACCGCAUAAUAUUAAUUAUUGCAUGAUAAUUAAUUGAAAGGUGCAAUUGCACCACUACCAGAUGGACCUGCGUUGUAUUAGCUAGUAGGUGAGGUAACGGCUCACCUAGGCGACGAUACAUAGCCGACCGGAGAGGGUGAUCGGCCACACUGGGACUGAGACACGGCCCAGACUCCUACGGGAGGCAGCAGUAGGGAAUCUUCGGCAAUGGACGAAAGUCUGACCGAGCAACGCCGCGUGAGUGAAGAAGGUUUUCGGAUCGUAAAGCUCUGUUGUAAGAGAAGAACGGGUGUGAGAGUGGAAAGUUCACACUGUGACGGUAUCUUACCAGAAAGGGACGGCUAACUACGUG
rnacentral:rRNA from 1 species